AGACAAAAGAAAGGUUAAGACCAUUUUAGGCUUGGACUACUGGGCUCUCUAUCAAAACAUAUAUCCUUUCAGUUACAAAGUAUAGAAUACAAGAAGCUAAUUUUUGGUAAAGGAUUUCAUACAUUACAGAUCUCUAACUGAAAAUAGGAAAAGAUAUAUCCCCAAGGCCCAAAGAACACCUAUUUUUUGACAAUAUCGACGGUUUAGAGCGCAUACACGAGCGACUUUCAGAUGCUGGGGCCUGAGGACACUGUUUUCACGUUAAAACAGAGAGCAGUAAAUCUUAUGGAUGAUUUUGACAUGGCGAGUUUUUACAAUGAUAUGCACCAGUUAUCCUUCUAUUUAAGUCGACUUCAGAGUUUCUUUCAGAAACUUUUUAUUUUAAUUAUUCUUGUUUUGUUUAUGUUUCUUUCAAAUUUCUUGAAUAAUUAAACAAGUUUGUGUGCUGCAAUUUUCAGCCGGUAUUUCAAUAUUAUGCUAAAAAUAUAUCAGCAUUUACACUCUUUA